rnacentral:rRNA from 1 species
UUGCUUCCGCCGACGACCGGCGCACGGGUGCGUAACGCGUAUACAAUCUACCUUAUACUGGGGUAUAGCCUUUAGAAAUGAAGAUUAACCCCCCAUAGUCUCUUAGAGUGGCAUCACUUCUAGAGUAAAGGUUACGGUAUAAGAUGAGUAUGCGUUCUAUUAGUUUGUUGGUGUGGUAACGGCACACCAAGACUACGAUAGAUAGGGGCCCUGAGAGGGGGAUCCCCCACACUGGUACUGAGACACGGACCAGACUCCUACGGGAGGCAGCAGUGAGGAAUAUUGGACAAUGGAGGCAACUCUGAUCCAGCCAUGCCGCGUGCAGGAAGACUGCCCUAUGGGUUGUAAACUGCUUUUAUACAGGAAGAAACACCUCUACGUGUAGAGGCUUGACGGUACUGUAAGAAUAAGGAUCGGCUAACUCCGUGCCAGCAGCCGCGGUAAUACGGAGGAUCCAAGCGUUAUCCGGAAUCAUUGGGUUUAAAGGGUCCGUAGGUGGAUAAUUAAGUCAGAGGUGAAAUCUUGCAGCUCAACUGUAAAAUUGCCUUUGAAACUGGUUAUCUUGAGUUAUUAUGAAGUA